UUACGGCCAUAUCACGUUGAAACACCAGCUCCGGUAGGACUACCGAAGUUAAGCAACGCCGAGUCUGGUCAGUACGUAGAUGGGAGACCUCUUGGGAAUACGAGGGGCUGUAAG